CAGUCUUUGCUGCAGUGAUUGGCAUGAUCUUCUGUAUGAGAUCAUUCAAGCAGUUCAAGACUUUAAUUUACCUUUUUUUUCUUUUUCAUUUGCAGAUUCUUUAUUGAGCAUUUUUUAGGUAGUGAAUAUACCUCAGCUAGCAAAAAGCUGAAGAUUUGUGUGUUAGUGGUGAAGAGGUUUUUGCUGCUGGUGGGCAGGCUGGAAGGCCUUAGUAGGAGAGACAGCAUCCCAUUGCCAAAUGCACAAAGAAGACGACAUGAAGAGAAGCCAGGGAGCCAGAGACAAAGAGAAAAAUACUGAUGUUAUCAAGAUCAGGAGUCCAUGAUAAUGGAUCCAUACGUUAAAUCAGAGCAAGAGCUAAUCUAGUAUCACAAGGCUGAUAUCUUCAGCUGGAGCAAAAACUAGAAUUGUAGGGGAGUAAGGAGGGACUAUCUUGCUCAGAAGUCUCCUGUGUGGCUAGCGGAUGACUACUUGGGGAGGUAGGUCUGCUUCUCACAGUAGAAGUCACAACUAUUUGACACCUGAUUCUCCCCCAAAUAGACUAUUCACUAUUGUGCAUUAGUGUGUUACAGCCUUUAGAAGUCAUAAUAGCAGAAGUUACUGUAAGAUUGCAUAAGAGAACAAUUUCUGUGCAAAACCUACUUCUGGGCUACUGCAUGAAAUCCCAAACAGACACUUAAACACACAUGUUUUUCAGUGUUAUUUCUAAGUAAAUAGUAUUUGAGGACAAAUACCUGGGAAAGUAACAGUUAACAGCCUAAGUUGUGAAAAAAAUGUUGCCAUUUGCAAUGUUGUAUUCACUUUUCACUGAAAUACUGUGUUCCUGUGAUUUUUUUCACUGCUGAAGUUUCAGCACUGCUCAGGAAAAAGAGACAAUGCCUAGCAUCUUUUGUUUGGAUCUCUGAUGCUUCUUUGUUAUGCUUGCCAAGCAAUACUAAAAAUCUGGCUUUGAAGAUUAAUAGAUUAUAAAUUACACACACAAUAAUUUAAUCAGUUUUUAGUAUCUGCACAUUCUGAGCAUGGUAAAUGGUUACAUCUCUCCAGGUGACAUUUCCUUGCUUGGUAAUACUUGAAGAAAAGGUAAAUCAAGCUAACCUGACCCCAUAGUUACUGUAAUAAUCUUUCCUUUUCUUAAGGUCAUGUAGUUCUAGUUGAAACUAGUAUUGUUCAUCUCAGAUUGGGUGCAAGAGGCCUUAACCCUUCUGUUGCCUUACUUCAGAGGAAGAAAUAUCUAAAAAUAUUUAAAUGCACAGAAAUGACGGACCAGCCAGUCACUUCUAAGACUUUAAGGACCAAUACA
rnacentral:lncRNA from 1 species